rnacentral:rRNA from 1 species
GGCGGCAGGCUUAACACAUGCAAGUCGAGCGGUAACAGGGGUAGCUUGCUACCCGCUGACGAGCGGCGGACGGGUGAGUAAUGCUUAGGAAUCUGCCCAGUAGUGGGGGAUAGCCCGGGGAAACCCGGAUUAAUACCGCAUACGUCCUACGGGAGAAAGCAGGGGAUCUUCGGACCUUGCGCUAUUGGAUGAGCCUAAGUCGGAUUAGCUAGUUGGUGGGGUAAAGGCGUACCAAGGCGACGAUCCGUAGCUGGUCUGAGAGGAUGACCAGCCACAUCGGGACUGAGACACGGCCCGAACUCCUACGGGAGGCAGCAGUGGGGAAUAUUGGACAAUGGGGGCAACCCUGAUCCAGCCAUGCCGCGUGUGUGAAGAAGGCUUUCGGGUUGUAAAGCACUUUCAGUAGGGAGGAAAACCUUAUGGCUAAUACCCAUGAGGCUUGACGUUACCUACAGAAGAAGCACCGGCUAACUCCGUGCCAGCAGCCGCGGUAAUACGGAGGGUGCAAGCGUUAAUCGGAAUUACUGGGCGUAAAGCGCGCGUAGGUGGUUUGGUAAGCGAGAUGUGAAAGCCCCGGGCUUAACCUGGGAACGGCAUUUCGAACUUGUCAGACUAAGUGUGGUAGAGGGUAGUGGAAUUUCCUGUGUACCGGUGAAAUGCU